GGGGGCGACGUGUCGGAUUUAUUGGGCGUAAGGGCUCGUAGGCGGUUGAUCGCGUCGGAAGUGGAAACUUGAUGCUUAACGUUGAGCGUGCUUUCGAUACGGGUUGACUUGAGGAAGGUAGGGGAGAAUGGAAUUCCUGGUGGAGCGGUGGAAUGCGCAGAUAUCAGGAGGAACACCAGUGGCGAAGGCGGUUCUCUGGACCUUUCCUGACGCUGAGGAGCGAAAGCGUGGGGAGCGAACAGGCUUAGAUACCCUGGUAGUCCACGCUGUAAACGGUGGGUACUAGGUGUGGGGUCCAUUCCACGGAUUCUGUGCCGUAGCUAACGCAUUAAGUACCCCGCCUGGGGAGUACGGCCGCAAGGCUAAAACUCAAAGGAAUUGACGGGGCCCCGCACAAGCGGCGGAGCAUGCGGAUUAAUUCGAUGCAACGCGAAGAACCUUACCUGGGUUUGACAUGGAUCGGGAGCUUCCAGAGAUGGUUGUGCCUCUUUUGGGGUCGGUUCACAGGUGGUGCAUGGCUGUCGUCAGCUCGUGUCGUGAGAUGUUGGGUUAAGUCCCGCAACGAGCGCAACCCUCGUCCACUGUUGCCAGCAAUUCGGUUGGGGACUCAGUGGAGACCGCCGGGGUCAACUCGGAGGAAGGUGGGGAUGACGUCAAGUCAUCAUGCCCCUUAUGUCCAGGGCUUCACGCAUGCUACAAUGGCCGGUACAGUGAGUUGCGACAUCGUAAGGUGGAGCGAAUCUCAAAAAGCCGGUCUCAGUUCGGAUUGGGGUCUGCAACUCGACCUGGUGAAGUCGGAGUCGCUAGUAAUCGCAGAUCAGCAACGCUGCGGUGAAUACGUUCCCGGGGCUUGUACACACCGCCCGUCAAGUCAUGAAAGUCGGUAACACUCGAAGCCGGUGGCCUAACACUUUUUGUGGGGGAGCUGUCGAAAGUGGGACUGGUGAUUAGGACU
rnacentral:rRNA from 1 species